rnacentral:rRNA from 1 species
UACGUAGGGUCCGAGCGUUGUCCGGAAUUAUUGGGCGUAAAGAGCUUGUAGGCGGUUUGUCGCGUCUGCUGUGAAAAUCCGGGGCUCAACCCCGGACUUGCAGUGGGUACGGGCAGACUGGAGUGUGGUAGGGGAGACUGGAAUUCCUGGUGUAGCGGUGGAAUGCGCAGAUAUCAGGAGGAACACCGAUGGCGAAGGCAGGUCUCUGGGCCACUACUGACGCUGAGAAGCGAAAGCAUGGGGAGCGAACAGG